GGGACGGGAAGAUGGGGGAAGAACUGGGGAUAGACAGAUAUCUUGACCAGAGACACUUACAAAAAUCAUCUGGGGACCAAGGAACUAUGUACAAAGACAAAACUACCAACCAUCACCAAAAAACAAAGCAUAAAACCCUAGACAAAUAAAGAGGGGGGUGGGAGACAAAGAAGGAGGCUUUAGGAAUUUAACUCCUGGGAGCAGUAUUCUGCAGCUUCGUUUAUCCCCAAGGAAGAGAAAACAGCAAUACCAUUACUACCACCACUCCAACUUCCCAAGCACAAGUGAGUCCUACAGGAAAACCAAACAACCCGGACCUUGAGCUUCUGGGGAGGAAGGUAGUUGUUCUGUGUUUAACUCUCCCUUCUAAAAUCCUACACCGUAUGUGCGCUCUUUGAUUCAUUUCCUCUUUUCCAAAGAGACUCCAAGGCUUCAGCCCAGCAGCUGGACCUUAGCUUACAUGCGCUUUGGGAAGCUGCCUGGUCAUUCACACCGAAUCUUCACUUUCCAGGAGCCAAUGGCCACAGCCUUGUGGCCUGGUCUUGGUCAGGUGAGGGUCUUUAGGCCAUGAGAGCCCAAAAGACAGAAAUUAGGUUCUCUGAAAAAAAUAUUUGUUCUGGGAUAAUUAAACGAUCUUAACACCUACAGUAGGGUUUUACUUUUAUAUAUUUGUUCAUGCAUCCAUGAACAAAUCUGAAACGUUUUUUUUCCUUCCACCCUACUUACAGAACUUUACCUUCAUGUGCCUGCCCUGUUUUCCGGAUUCAAACUCUACUGACACUUAUUAAUUUAGAUUGAAUGAUAGGGUGGGAGAUCAUAGGGAGGAAACUUCCUUCCAGUUCCACUUUUCUCCACUGAAUACAAUCUCACUUUUCUAGGUCCCUGUCUCCCUCCCUUGGAGAACAUGAAGUUGUUGAAAAGCUGAGAAGUUUCUGCUUUCAUUUGGGGGCAGGAGUCCCAUGUAAGAAAAAUCACCUAAAAUCCCAGAAGAAAGGAAGAGAUUUAAAGAUUUAAAGCCCCUCCCACCCUGUUCGUUUCAAAUAGGUCUGCACUUAUCCGGGAAAGCAGAAGUGUUUCCCUGUUGUUCUUGUGUUGUUCAAGGAUCAUUUAUUACCAGGGAUAAACGCUGAGUUGCAGAAACUUCAAUUUGCACUAUGAGUUUCCAAAAUAGAAAAUCAUGUAUGGUAUCUCAUACUAAUAAUCCAAACUGCUGAUAGAUUUUUUUUAAAUGAGAAAGACAGUUUGAGAAAGGAAAAAAAAAAAAACAAGAAAUGUGGUCUAGUGAAAUGCCUGCUUUGUUGUGUAUACGAUACUGUUUGGAUCUCAUGUGGAGAUGGUUUCUUACUAUCAUGUAACCACAACCGAAGAGGAAAAUGGAAGAGAUGAGGGGGGGAGCACUGUCUAGGAAGACUGAAAUCAUGCAUGGUCUGAAAGGUGCAGAAGGAAGUACGAUUAGGUCUCACUCUGGGUAGGCGUUGUUGUUUAUUUAAUUAUGUCGUAUGUCAUUGUUUGCAGCACAAAACAUUCUAUGCAUUUGAAACUGAGCACUAAACUGGGCUAGCUUUCUGAUAGACCGUUUUGUGGAUAGUGUGAUCUCACAGUCUACUUACUGCCUGUUUCCACUGAAAACACAACAUUAUUGUAAAUAUUUUCUUUCAUGCACAGGCUCACACAGUGGUUACAAACUGCCAGUGUUAAUCCUGAAAUGUCUCACCGACUGGUCCUCCUCCUGUCCAUGUUGUGUCUGCAGAGCUUUCUCCUUGGUUAUGUCUUUGCUCUAUUGCCCCCCCCACCCCACCCCACCCCAUCAGAACCAUUUCUGUGCGCCAACAUACAACAGGGAGGUGUGUCCCAGCACACUUCCAAAUAAAACGUGACUGAAAGAAGAACAAUUUUAUGAUCUGGGUGCAUUUUUGUGUUUACAUUGAGCCAAGUCCUGGUAGAGCCGGUCAACAAAUGAGACAACCAAAACAAACCAAAACAAACCAAAAAACAAAACAAAGCAAAAAAAAAAAAAAAAA
rnacentral:lncRNA from 1 species